UCGUAAACCAACAACGCAUGAUUUGGUUAACGCUUUCAACAUUAAUGUAAUAAUUAAGAAAAACAGAAUAUAAUGCGCAUGGGUAACUUAAGCUCGGAAUGCAUGAUGGGGUUAAAAAAAUGGCAGAUUUUAGGCUUAAGCGAACUGUUAAAAAUUGAUUCAAAUGUAGACAUUUAAUUCUUGAUAAAGACGUAAGUAGGUUGAAACGUCAGGUACAUUAAAACUUUCUUAUCUGAAGUUUGUAUUCAUAUUUCUUAUAAUGAUAAUUUCUAGUCUUUAGUGUGUACUUAGACAUCUGAAUCUAAGCAGACUUGUAAGUUGUAACCGAAACGUCUGAAUAAACUAGAACAGUGGUUCUCAAACUUUUUUGUUUGUGGAUCACCCGAAUUCUUUUUAUCUUGGUGGACCACAAUGGAAUCUACACGGUAGGCUGUCACUUCAUUUCACUAAUUAUGCAACCUUUCCACAGACCAACUGAAGGGAGACCAUGGCCUACAGAUUGAGAACCACUGAUGUAGACGAUAUCUUUAUCAAUUGAAAGUUUGAUAUAAAUUACAAAAAUAUGUUUUUAUGGUUAACCAAAACUUUUUCUUUUUCACCUGCUUGUGAUGUACUUCCUCAAUGUAAAAAAAUCAUGCUGUUAAUAUUUGAUAAGCCUCUAAAGUUAAUGUCUCCUGUGUACCCUAGUUCUUCAUUGGCCUAUCACAUUGUAACUGCAAAUCAUAGGAUAAUUUCUCAAAAAUAUCUUAUUGUCAAGCAGUAUACUGUCAAAUUAAAACUUCUUACCGAAUUUUGUGUGAAGGUUAAAUAAAUUAGGUAUUGCUUCAAAACCUUAUUUUGACUGCUUUAUAAUUGAAUUUGUAUUUAAUGUAUUAUCAAACUUUUUAGGUUAAAAAAUUAGUUUUCACUUCAGAACCUUAUUUGGCUACUUUAUAAUAUAAAUAGUAUUUAAUGUAUUAUCAAACUUCUUUCAGUCCACAAACAAAUAAUGAAAUAUUUCUAUGUACAGUUUUCAGUGUAAAUAUGAACUUAGGUAGUUAUAGUAUUAAUGAAAUGCCAUGGGAUAAAUUGUGUUUAUAGUGGUACUGCAUUUAAUGACCACAAAUGUUCUGAGAUUAUUGUUUGUACAGUAUAUAUAUAGAAUUUAUAAUAUCAACUUAUUUAGUAAUCUUGCCUGUAUCCAUGAUUCUAUGUUAAUUUAAAUUAUUUCUUCAUUAAUUAAUGCAUAUUUAGAUAAUGUUUUGCUUUAGGGUAAACUUAACUAUCAGAAAGAAAUGGCUUUUUUUUUGUGCUUAAAAUGACUUUUUCUUUUGCUAUAUGAAAUUGUACUAUUGGUUUAUCAGUUUAUAUGAAAUUAGCAUGUAUAUUAUUAUAAAAUGUAAUUUGUGAGUUUACUUUUUUUUGUGUUUGGUAGGGUAAGGCUUGAAUGUGGUGAAAUAUCAACUCCAUAACUGUAAUUAAAGGUUCUGGUUUGAUGUCAUGUUAUGCUUCUUACAAGUUACAACACUGGGGUUUAAUCUGCAAGAGUAUCAAAAAAGUGCUUAAUGCAAUUCUUUUAUUCAUUUCAGUUUAAAAAAAAUACAUCUCAUAACUGGAAUCUACUAGAUGUAUUACUGAAAUUGCUUAGAAAUGAAAAAGUAUUUUAAUUAGAUUGUUACUAAAAUUUAUAUUCAGAUGAUUACCUUUUUUAACAGUACUAGACCAGCUCUUGUACUUAAUCAUACAACAAAUAUUAAUAAUUGAAAUUACUUUUCCCCCUUUUUAAAUGCUCAAAUUAAUCUAACUUUGAAGUAUGCAUAUAAGCAUAUCACACUAUAAAUCUCUGCUUGAGUAGCUAAUUGAUAAAGAGAAAAAAUAAAGUAAUAAUUCAGCUGUUUUUUAUGUAUUUUUUUUAGAUUAGAAGCAUUUGCUAAGUUUAAUAGCAAAGUCACCAGCAUAAUUAUGCAUGCUUUCCAUCAUGAGAUGGAUAAGAAUACACUAAUUUCUGGUUCUUUUUUUUAAUGAAAAAAACAAAAAAACAUUGCCAUUUGGUUUAAUACUUCAUGAUUUUCAUCAAAGAUUAUAAUAAUAAUUGUUUAAAAUUGUUGGAAUGCACUGUACUUGAAAUAGUUUCUAAGUUUUUAAAGGUAUUUUUCUUAACCCUUUGUGACUGUAGCCAUCAACAACAGCAACUGGAAGUUUAUUAAACUUCAGUGAAUACUUCAUUUAGAUUUAAGUGAUGCAAUACUAUAAGAGUAUCAGUCAGUAAGGCCCAGAGUUACAUUGAAAGACUAUUUACUUCAAGUAUUUUGUAUUAAGGGGUUAAGCACGUAAGUGUUAAAAGUUCUUGAACAGCUCAAUAAUUUUUGUUUUGUAAUUUUAUUUAUUACUGAUAUGAAACACCUUUCAUGCUGUUUUAAUACAUGUACUGAAAAAUCUCAAUAAACCGUUAGAUAAUGA
rnacentral:lncRNA from 1 species